rnacentral:lncRNA from 1 species
UAAUGGGUUAGUUCAUUUUCUCUGCAGUGCCCUCUUUUCAAUCAUGCUACAAAAGUAGUCUUCAAUCAAGGUUGUGUUACUGUUAUUUUCAUAGUAGGAUAUAAAAUAAUGAGAUUUUUACCGAACUUUUCCCAUUUUUUAGCCAUGGAAGAUAAUGAUAGUUAUUUCCAUCAAGUGAAGCAAAGCAGAAGGUGAGCAGUGUAAUGUCUUAGGUGCUUUCUCAAGAGUACAUUUAUCUUCUGGCUUAACUGGGGAAUAAGCAGUUGGUAAUUGCUAUGAGGUAGAAGGUACUGUUCAGGAAUUGUUGAGGCAUAUCUUCCAUUUUUGAAAUAAAGAAAUUCUGAUGGGUUUCAGUAUAUCAUCUCUUCUGCUUUCCACAUAUGGCUUUGUGUGAAAAAGAAAGAGACAGUUCUAAAUGGGUAACUUGGCAGGAAUACUGGUGACAGGAGAUGAUUUUACGGGAGACGGGGUGUGUGAUGAUGGAAAGAGCAAGCUUGGCCUUGAAUGUAGAAGUCUGGCCUCUUUGGAUGGAAUACUGAGAAAGGACAGCGUGCAUUUCCCAAUAUUGUGGUUCCAGAGGUGUGGCAACAGUAUGAAAAGCAAAAAUCCAUUGUGGGAGCAAUGAAUCUUGAGUUGAAGGAGAAUGUCGCAAGCAUCCCUUUUACGUAAUGAAUGAAGUCCAGGUUUCAUCUGAGUGACGGCUUAAUUGCUGGUUCAUCUCUGCAUAGGAACAGUUCAUGGCACUCCUCUGCUCGUAACCUACAGUGGCUCCUUCUGUCCACUGAAAGAAACCCAAACUCUUUGGCCAAGAAUGUAAGGUCCCCCCUUUCUACACUACCCAGGGAGGGGUCUAUAUGGUGUUGUUCUGCAUUCCCAUCAUAACUUAAAGAGAAAUGUUCACAAUGGCUGGAGCCCUUGAUGUCCUGUAAAUGAAGGAGGAGGAGGGUGUCCUCAAAUUCCUUGCAGCAGGACCCCACUUAGGUGGCGCCAACCUUGACUUCCAGAUGGAACUACAUCUAUAAAAGGAAAUGUGAUGGCAUCUGAAGAGAACGUGGGAGAAGCUUCUGCUGGCAGCUUGUGCCAUUGUUGCCGUUGAAGACGGCUCCCGUCAGUGUCCUAUCACCCAGGAAUCCUGGCCAGCGAGCUGGGCUGAAGUUUGCGGCUGCUACUGGAGCCAGUCCCACUGCCGGCCACUUCACUCCUGGAACCUUCACUAACCGGAUCCAGGCAGCCUUCCGGGAG